rnacentral:rRNA from 1 species
UACGAGUGCCCCAAGCGUUAUCCGGAAUUAUUGGGCGUAAAGGGUGUGCAGGCGGGGGGACAAGGGGGGUUUGAAAUCUCCCAGCUUAACUGGGAUAGGUUAUGCCAGACUGUUCUUCUAGAGGACGAGAGAGGGGGGUGGAAUUCCGGGUGUAGUGGUGAAAUGCGUAGAGAUCCGGAGGAACCCCAGAGGCGAAGGCGGCCCCCUGGCUCGUACCUGACGCUCAGCCACGAAAGCAUGGGGAGCGAACGGG